CCUACGGGAGGCAGCAGUGGGGAAUAUUGCGCAAUGGGCGAAAGCCGGACGCAGCGACGCCGCGUGAGGGAUGAAGGUCUUCGGAUCGUAAACCUCUGUCAGCAGGGAAGAACGGUCACGGUGCUAAUCAGCAGUGAAUUGACGGUACCUGCAAAGGAAGCACCGGCUAACUCCGUGCCAGCCGCCGCGGCAAUACGGAGGGGGCGAGCGUUAAUCGGAAUUACUGGGCGUAAAGCGCUCGUAGGCGGUAUGUCAAGUCAGGGGUGAACUCCCCGCGCUCAACGUGGGAACUGCCUUUGAAACUGGCAGACUGGAGUGUGUGAGAGGUUAGUGGAAUUCCAGGUGUAGCGGUGAAAUCCGUAGAUAUCUGGAGGAACAUCAGUGGCGAAGGCGACUCUCUGGCACAUAACUGACGCUGAGGCGCGAUAGCGUGGGUAGCAAACAGGAUUAGAUACCCGUGUAGUC
rnacentral:rRNA from 1 species